rnacentral:rRNA from 1 species
UACAGAGGGGGCAAGCGUUGUUCGGAAUUACUGGGCGUAAAGGGCGCGUAGGCGGCCUGUUAAGUCGAACGUGAAAUCCCCGGGCUCAACCCGGGAACUGCGUCCGAUACUGGCAGGCUUGAAUCCGGGAGAGGGAUGCGGAAUUCCAGGUGUAGCGGUGAAAUGCGCAGAUAUCAGGAAGAACACCUAUGGCGAAGGCAGCUCUCUGGGACGGUACUGACGCUGAGACGCGAAAGCGUGGGGAGCGAACAGG